AUGGUUGGCGCAUACUCUGGUGUGAAGGUGGGACUCCGCGAAGACGUCGCACAGUACCUGGAAUUGUGUAUUGUGCACAACCUUGUGCUGAGACAAGGGAAAACCGCCAUCUUAUUGCUCACUCAAUGCCUCCAUAACACCAAUUUUUCACUCCCGGGCUUUGCAGCAGCCCGGUGUACUUUCCAUAAUACGCCUAUUACACAGGCAUCCUCACUAGCCAUCGCUUACACAAUUACCCGUGUGAUUUUCUCCAUCCCGGCGUGGUUGCCAUCGUCUUCGGUCCCCACCCAGUAUAACUUCGGGAACCCAUGGAAACAGAUGACAUGUGCUAAUAACAGCAUCUUUGGGAAGAUGAUUUUGCUUUUCAUGAAGAAAGAAUGUUUUGAACUGUUGUACUGGAAUUUCAGUGCCUGCAAUGUUGAAGGUGACACCAGCUCGGAUAUGUAUUGUUUGGGGGUCAUAAAUGACCUUUGGAGCAUUUAUAAAAGUGGUAGUUACAGAAAACUUAUUAUCCUGAUGCUGAGAAGCAAACACUUUAAGAGGGACAUCAGCUACUUGUGUCGCAGAGCAGCCCUGUUCCAGAGCAUCACCAGAACUCAUGGCCACAACCAGUGUAACCUCUGCAGUGGGUGUUGUUGUGCUGCCCUCACUAUAUGUGUGAUUCAGUCCUAUCAGUUGUGUCCAACUCUGCACCCCCAUGGACUGUUGCCCUCUGCAAGCUCCUCUGUCCAUGGGAUUUUUCCAGGCAAGAAUACUGGAGUGGGGUGCCAUGCCCUCCUCCAGGGGAUUUUCCCCAACCAGGGAUUGAACCCGUAUCUCUGACAUCUUAUGCAGUGACAGGUAGGUUCUUUACCAUAGUGCCACAGGGGAAGCCCACCAGACAAUGAGCUAGUGUCUUAUUUCACUCUUGUAAUAAUCCAUCAAAGUCCUUAUUAAUACUCUCAUCUCAGUUUAAUAGGAAAAGAGAGAGAGAAAAAGGAGAGUUAGAGGGUGAAUUCAUUUCCUCAACUGAGUGAUGAAAAGAGCUUUGUACCCUCGUCUCCCUGACUUCAAGACCCAGUCUCUUUUCAACCAUUUCACCAUUAAAUCAUGGUGCUAUGUUGCCAAGUAUGGAAGGUUUAAAGUAAGUGAGUGACAAGAUCAAUGCAGAAUUUUGGGUGGAAAAAAAAAGUCUAAACGGGGUGUGCGAUUCUGGAGGGGAAGACACUCUAUUCAUGUCUACCGGAGUUCCUCUGAGUGGAAAAUGGAAACCACCUCCCACUUGAUUAAGUGCCUUCCCUGAUGCCUGUCCUCAGAGUCGUUCUCAUUCUCUUCCCUGCUGUGAAGCCAGGUUUAGGAGGAGAUGGAAGAGAUAAGCAGAUGAAUAAAAAUAAGCAGACCAGAUAAUGUUGGCUGAUU
rnacentral:lncRNA from 1 species